UUCCGGUUGAUCCUGCCAGAGGCGACCGCUAUUGGAGUUCGAUUAAGCCAUGCGAGUCGAGAGUCUUAGGGACUCGGCAUACUGCUCAGUAACACGUGGAUAACCUGCCCUGUACUGGAGAAUAACCUCGGGAAACUGAGAAUAAUACUCCAUAGACCACAAUGCCUGGAACGGUUUGUGGUUCAAAGCUCCGGCGGUACAGGAUGGGUCUGCGGCGUAUCAGGUUGUAGGGGGUGUAAAGGACCUCCUAGCCAUUGACGCGUACGGGUUGUGGGAGCAAUAGCCCGGAGAUGGAUUCUGAGACACGAAUCCAGACCCUACGGGGUGCAGCAGGCGCGAAAACUUCACACUGCGGGAAACCGUGAUGAGGGAACUCCAAGUGUUAGCACAAUGUGCUAUCUUUUCUUGACUUUUAAUAGGUCUUGGAAUAAGGGGCGGGAAAGACCGGUGCCAGCCGCCGCGGUAAUACCGGCGCCUCAAGUGGUCGUCGCUUUUAUUGGGCCUAAAACGUCCGUAGCCUGUUUGGUAAACCCGUGGGUAAAUCAACGAGCUCAACUCAUUGACUUCUGCGGAGACUGCCAGACUAGGGACCGGGAGAGGUGUAGGGUACUCAUGGGGUAGGGGUAAAAUCCUGUCAUCCCAUGAGGACCACCUGUUGCGAAGGCGCUACACUGGAACGGAUCCGACGGUCAGGGACGAAGCCUAGGGGCACGAACCGGAUUAGAUACCCGGGUAGUCCUAGGUGUAAACGCUGUGGACUUGGUGUUGGGGAUCCGACAGGGGUUCCCAGUGCCGGAGCGAAGGUGUUAAGUCCACUGCCUGGGGAGUACGGUCGCAAGGCUGAAACUUAAAGGAAUUGGCGGGGGAGCACUGCAACGGGAGGAGCGUGCGGUUUAAUUGGACUCAACGCCGGAA
rnacentral:rRNA from 1 species